AACGAACGCUGGCGGCAGGCCUAACACAUGCAAGUCGAGCGCCCCGCAAGGGGAGCGGCGGACGGGUGAGUAACACGUGGGAAUUUUCCUCAAGGUACGGAACAACUCAGGGAAACUUGGGCUAAUACCGUAUGAUGUCUAGCGACCAAAGAUUUAUCGCCUUGGGAUAAGCCCGCGUCAGAUUAGGUAGUUGGUGGGGUAACGGCCUACCAAGCCUGCGAUCUGUAGCUGGUCUGAGAGGACGAUCAGCCACACUGGGACUGAGACACGGCCCAGACUCCUACGGGAGGCAGCAGUGGGGAAUCUUGCGCAAUGGGCGAAAGCCUGACGCAGCCAUGCCGCGUGAAUGAUGAAGGUCUUAGGAUUGUAAAGUUCUUUCGCUCGUGACGAUGAUGACGGUAACGAGAGAAGAAGCCCCGGCUAACUUCGUGCCAGCCGCCGCGGUAAGAC
rnacentral:rRNA from 1 species